rnacentral:lncRNA from 1 species
UUAUUGCACAAUGCAUAAACUUAUAUACAGUGUUUGAGCCAAUCCCAAGCCCCUAAAUCCUCAGCCAAUCAUAUCUCACCACACUGUCACUGUGCCCCAAUGAAAGCUGUGCCUGAUGAGGUAACUCAGAAGGAACUGGGCCGUUAGGACUUCCGGGGUAAGCAGUUCCUUCCUGCUGUCUCACGGGUGUUCUGGGAGACAUCUUAGAUCUAAUGAGGACGCUUCGAGGAGUCGCAGGAGCUUGUGGCGAGCUUGUGGCGCCUCGCUCUCCAUCCCACACUUUCCUUCAUGAGGUUGAUCUCCACACCCCCGCACCAUUCUGACCUGUGCUGUCUGGAGGAUGGCUCAUACAGGGGCUGGAAGUCGGCAAAGAGUUCCCAGGUGUGCAGGUAGAGGGCAGCCUCCCCAGCUCUCACCUUCUUCAGCAGCCUUCUAGAUUUAUCAGGAAUAUUAAAGCACGCGGCUUCUGCAAGCCAUCAGCUUCUUUUGCUUCCUCAGAGAGAGGCUGCCCAUGGACAAGCUGCAGUAAGCUUUAAGGGGAAGGCUUUGGCAUCCACAUUAUUCCUGCCUGGAAGCUGACUUGAAAACAGGAAGCUCAGAGCUUCACAUGAAGAAUGAUGGGACAGAAAGACACAGAGGACCUGACAGCACCAACCAGUAACUGUGCCAGCCCCCGGCUGUUGGCCCGCGCACUUCUCAUUAUUUGAGAAAAAUGAAGUCGGGCUCAGCAGCUUAAGUCUCUUAUAGUUGAAUUUGCUGUUGUCUGUAACAAAACUUGUUCUUAAAUUAUACAAGGGGGAUCCCUCAGAAACACUGGGCAUUUGAUAUAUUUCUUUCCUUCUGUCCCUGAAGAACCAUGAAAUAAUGUGUCUUUAAGCCUUGUUUUGACGGUCUACAGAAAGGAUCAAAGAGGAAGAGUUCGAGCUUGCCCUCGGUUUCUAAGAGUGGGGCUAGAGUGGCUUGUACUGUGCUGCUUACACCACAGACUUCCUAUUCCUUUGUACUGGGGGAUUUUUCAAAACUUGAUAUCUAAAAAGAACUUUGGAUGAGACUCAAGUCUUACAACAUAAAAAGCAUGAAUGGUUUCAGUUCUCAAACAUUCCAGUAGCACCAUGUCUGCCCUGUGCAUCGCCAUGCUUCCCACCAUGACAAUGGACGUAACCUCUGAGCUGCUCACCACAGCAUCAUGCUUGCCUGUGUGCCGCCAUGCUUCCUGCCAUGAUGAUAAUGGACUAAACCUCUGAACGAUAAGCCAGCUCCAAUUACACGCUUUCUCUUAGAAGACUUGCCAUGGUCAUCUCAACACAGCAAUAAAACUUUAAGUAGUAAGAUUGACUAAUCUAUUUUAGGAUGGAUUGAGACAAAUACAGAAGUAAUUAUUACUUAUUGCUGGUAAAUUGUGACUUCUUUUCAUGUAAAAAAAAAUCUCUAUUAGCAGAUUCAAGACAAGAAUAGUGAAUAACCUUUCAAAGCCAAGAGACGGCAGCUGGGUUUGCCUAUUAGUUAACUAUAAAUUGAUAACAUAGAGAGAAGGGGACAAGAGGAAAAUGUGUGACCUAAAGUGACCAGAACCAUUAGCUGAACAAAGGAACCCUCUAAGACCCAGGCAGGUCUUAACGACCAGAAAUAACCAGUCUGCAUCCAUGUCCACAGCAGUGUGCUAACAGCUCUUUAGUGACUGGCCUCAUGGCCGUAAGAAAUAGAUGAAUUUAUACCAAUUCUGGAAUAUGAGAGCUUUGCCAUGGCCAAUUUCAAAUACCCAGGCUGGCCUUACCAAGGGAGGAAUCAGGAAGAGGCACUAGGCUUGAAGCUCUGGGAAAAUGAAACAGGUCUAGCACUCUGCUGG